rnacentral:rRNA from 1 species
AGAGUUUGAUCCUGGCUCAGGAUGAACGCUAGCUACAGGCUUAACACAUGCAAGUCGGGGGGCAGCAUGGUCUUAGCUUGCUAAGGCCGAUGGCGACCGGCGCACGGGUGAGUAACACGUAUCCAACCUGCCGUCUACUCUUGGACAGCCUUCUGAAAGGAAGAUUAAUACAAGAUGGCAUCAUGAGUCCGCAUGUUCACAUGAUUAAAGGUAUUCCGGUAGACGAUGGGGAUGCGUUCCAUUAGAUAGUAGGCGGGGUAACGGCCCACCUAGUCUUCGAUGGAUAGGGGUUCUGAGAGGAAGGUCCCCCACAUUGGAACUGAGACACGGUCCAAACUCCUACGGGAGGCAGCAGUGAGGAAUAUUGGUCAAUGGACGAGAGUCUGAACCAGCCAAGUAGCGUGAAGGAUGACUGCCCUAUGGGUUGUAAACUUCUUUUAUACGGGAAUAAAGUGAGGCACGUGUGCCUUUUUGUAUGUACCGUAUGAAUAAGGAUCGGCUAACUCCGUGCCAGCAGCCGCGGUAAUACGGAGGAUCCGAGCGUUAUCCGGAUUUAUUGGGUUUAAAGGGAGCGUAGGCGGACGCUUAAGUCAGUUGUGAAAGUUUGCGGCUCAACCGUAAAAUUGCAGUUGAUACUGGAUAUCUUGAGUGCAGUUGAGGCAGGCGGAAUUCGUGGUGUAGCGGUGAAAUGCUUAGAUAUCACGAAGAACUCCGAUUGCGAAGGCAGCCUGCUAAGCUGCAACUGACAUUGAGGCUCGAAAGUGUGGGUAUCAAACAGGAUUAGAUACCCUGGUAGUCCACACGGUAAACGAUGAAUACUCGCUGUUUGCGAUAUACAGCAAGCGGCCAAGCGAAAGCGUUAAGUAUUCCACCUGGGGAGUACGCCGGCAACGGUGAAACUCAAAGGAAUUGACGGGGGCCCGCACAAGCGGAGGAACAUGUGGUUUAAUUCGAUGAUACGCGAGGAACCUUACCCGGGCUUAAAUUGCAGAUGAAUUACGGUGAAAGCCGUAAGCCGCAAGGCAUCUGUGAAGGUGCUGCAUGGUUGUCGUCAGCUCGUGCCGUGAGGUGUCGGCUUAAGUGCCAUAACGAGCGCAACCCUUAUCGAUAGUUACCAUCAGGUUAUGCUGGGGACUCUGUCGAGACUGCCGUCGUAAGAUGUGAGGAAGGUGGGGAUGACGUCAAAUCAGCACGGCCCUUACGUCCGGGGCUACACACGUGUUACAAUGGGGGGUACAGAAGGCAGCUACACGGCGACGUGAUGCUAAUCCCUAAAGCCUCUCUCAGUUCGGAUUGGAGUCUGCAACCCGACUCCAUGAAGCUGGAUUCGCUAGUAAUCGCGCAUCAGCCACGGCGCGGUGAAUACGUUCCCGGGCCUUGUACACACCGCCCGUCAAGCCAUGAAAGCCGGGGGUACCUGAAGUGCGUAACCGCAAGGAGCGCCCUAGGGUAAAACUGGUGAUUGGGGCUAAGUCGUAACAAGGUAGCCGUACCGGAAGGUGCGGCUG